AGAGGACCGAGGGAGACGGGAAGGGCAGAUGAGACCAUUAUGAGUUGGGGCUGAUGGAUGCACUCGAGCAACAACCACUCAACCAGCCAGACGCAGACUUUAACUAUAACACAGAUGGCUAUGAUGGGGAUGGAGCCGAAGACGGAAAGUCCCAGGAUAGCUCUGAGACGCUGCCCUUUAUAGAUGAAUCACCCACCAUGUCCCCCCAGCUGUGCGUGCCUCAGGGGCCUGAUGGCGAAGCAAUGUCCCCCACAACGCUAGAGGGCGAUGUUGAGAAAGGGCUGGAGAUGAAGAAACUGGUGCUGUCUGGUUUCUUGGCCAGCGAAGAGAUCUACAUCAACCAACUGGAGGCCCUGCUGCUGCCCAUGCGACCCCUGAAAGCUGCAGCCACAACCUCCCAGCCGGUCUUGAACAUGCAGCAGAUAGAGACCAUCUUCUACAAAAUCCAGGACAUCUUUGAGAUCCACAAAGAGUUCUAUGACGCCCUGCUACCCAGCAUACAGCGCUGGGAUGAGAAGGUCACUGUGGGGCAUCUGUUCCGGAAGCUGGCUAGCCAGCUGGGAGUGUACAAGGCCUUUGUGGACAACUACAAGAAUGCCCUUGAGACAGCGGAGAAAUGCAGCCAAGCCAACAGCCAGUUCCAGAAGAUAUCUGAGACUGUUAGAGUGAAACGCCCCAAAGACUCCAAAGACUGCACCACAACAAGUUCUAUGGAGGCUCUGCUUUACAAGCCCAUUGACCGUGUUACCAGAAGCACUCUGGUCCUUCAUGACCUGCUGAAGCACACACCCAAGGACCACCCAGACUUCUCCCUCCUGCAAGAAGCCCUGCGGAUUUCUCAGAACUUCCUCUCCUCCAUCAAUGAGGAGAUUGAUCCUCGCAGAACCGCCGUCACUACACCUAAAGGAGAGGCCCGUCAGCUGGUGAAGGAUGGCUUUCUGGUGGAGGUGUCAGAAAGCUCCAGGAAGCUUCGACAUGUCUUCCUCUUCACUGAUCUGCUUCUCUGUGCCAAGAUGAAGAAGACAGCUGUGGGUCGCCACCAGCAGUAUGAAUGCAAGUGGUACAUCCCUCUGGCAGAUUUAACUUUUCAAACCCUGGAUGAGUCAGACUCCUGUCCGAGCAUUCAAGUCCUACCUGAGCAUGAGAUCGAAGAGAUGAAGAUCAAGAUCUCAGUUUUGAAGAAUGAGAUACAGAAAGAAAAGAAAGCUCCAAAGGGUCAGAGCCGUGUGGAGCGUCUCAGGAAGAAGAUGAAUGAGCAGGAGUCAUGGCUACUCCUGCAUUCACCCACAAUCCCCUUCCGCAUCCACAACAAACACGGAAAGAGCUAUCUUUUUCUCCUCUCCUCUGAUUAUGAGAGGUCAGAGUGGAGAGAAAGCAUCCAGAAGCUCCAGAAGAAAGAUCUUCAGGCUUGUGUGUUAAGUUCAGUGGAGCUCCAGGUCCUGACCAGCUCCUGUUUCAAACUCCGAACUGUCCACAACAUUCCCGUCACCAGUAACAAAGAUGAUGAAGAGACCCCCGGCCUAUAUGGCUUCCUGCAUGUGAUUGUCCACUCUGCCAAAGGAUUCAAGGAGUCAGCCAAUUUAUAUUGCACCCUUGAAGUGGACUCAUUUGGUUACUUUGUGAGCAAGGCCAAGACCCGGGUCUUCAGAGACACCACCGAGCCUCAGUGGAACGAAGAGUUUGAGAUCGAGCUGGAGGGCUCCCAGUACCUGCGGAUCCUGUGCUACGAGAAGUGUUACGAUAAAAGCAUGCUCAACAAGGACGACAACGAGAUCGUGGACAAGAUCAUGGGCAAGGGGCAGGUCCAGCUGGACCCACAGACCGUGCAGUCCAAGAACUGGCACAUGGAUGUCAUUGAGAUGAACGGGAUCAAAGUGGAGUUCUCCAUGAAGUUUACAAGUCGAGACCUCAGCUUAAAGAGGACGCCCUCCAAAAAGCAGAGUGGGGUGUUUGGAGUCAAAAUCAACGUGGUUACAAAGCGCGAGCGCUCCAAGGUGCCUUACAUCGUCCGUCAGUGUAUUGAGGAAGUGGAGAAGAGAGGUAUUGACGAAGUGGGAAUCUACAGGAUCUCAGGGGUUGCCACGGACAUCCAGGCCCUCAAAUUAGCAUUCGACACAAAUACCAAAGACAUCCUGAUGAUGUUGAGUGACAUGGACAUCAACGCCAUCGCAGGAACACUCAAGCUGUAUUUCAGGGAGCUACCGGAGCCUCUUCUCACAGACCGUCUCUACCCAGCCUUCAUGGAGGGCAUAGCUCUCUCAGACCCUGCAGCCAAGGAGAACUGCAUGAUGCACCUUUUGCGCUCUCUGCCCGACCCCAACCUCAUGACCUUCCUCACUCUGCUGGAGCACCUCAAAAGGUACGCAACAACACUCACAUCAUCAGGUUAGCUUAGAUCAGAGGUCACAUAUCUUUAUAAUCCAAAAAGCCAAAUUUCUUUGAGUUGCAAUUGAUACAUAACUGUUAAUAACCCUUCAUUUUGUAUAAAUAUCCAACAUAGGAAACUAGUUUUGAUGUUUAAAUUAUAGAACCACUGUUAUUUCUAGUUUUAGGUUUUAAAAUAAAGAAAAUCCUACAAAAAAUAAUAAGAAUAAAUCCAUUUUCGUCCAUAUUUUUAGAAAAUGCGAGAAAAGCACAUGACCGUGACUUUUUAGUUUCACAAAAAAGUUUUUACAUUUCUUCAGUAUUAUGUGUCUUUCUGUUGUGGAAAUUCAAUGCAGGAAAACACUGAAAAACCGCUGAAACUAGCAUUUUAAUAAUUGCUUUAAUAUCCAGCAAGCAUUGCUGAGAUGUUUCAUUUUUAGCUAAAGUUGUAGAGGAGCCACUGGGUUGGGUCCAAACAGACACGUGUGGUUCAGGAGCCACAAGCUGCAGAGCCCUGGCUUAGGCUAAAACUGUUUUAUUAUAUGACACAUCAGCUUUCUGUAUUUGCAUCUAUUUUCAGGGUGCAAACAGGUGUGAGCUUCUCUUUGUUUGAUUGGAAAUUCCAAUUAAACUCAAAAACACAAUCUUCUUCCCCUAAAACCACUACGUCUUCAUCAGUCACUUAAAGCUGUUUUACAGCAUUUUAUUAAUGGAGAUUGAAGUCUUACUAUAUGUUCAGUUUCUAUUUUUCUUCCAUUCUUUGUUAAUCGUCCAUUCUGCAGUUUCUGUCUGGAUUUGUACAAUAAUAUUUAAUAAAAUAAACCCUGUUGCUGUUUGUUCCUGCAGCGUGGCUGAGAAGGAGCCCAUCAACAAGAUGUCCCUCCAUAACCUGGCCACGGUGUUCGGCCCCACCCUGCUCAGGCCUUCGGAGUCAGAAAGCGCAAAGGGACAGCACAUCACGUGCGCCUCCGACAUCUGGUCACAUGACGUCAUGGCACAGGUCCAGGUGCUGCUCUACUACGUGCAGCAUCCUCCAAUCUCCUUCGCCGAACUGAAGCGCAACACGCUUUACUUCUCCACUGACGUUUAAAGCCGCCACCCCACCCCUGGACACAAGGGUGACAGAGAGACUCCAUCCAAACCUUGGACCCCACCUCUCAGUACUCCUGCCUCAGCUCUGCUCCCAGCAGGCAGCUCAUCUCUGCGGUUUUCCCUCAAUCCUCCAUCAGAACCUAACCUCAAACAAUCCUGAGGAGAGGAAGACAAAGGCUCGGGGAAGAUUCAGAGAACACUUUGUGGUCAUGAACCACCUCCCAUCAGAAACAUGACCAGCCUCUCUGGGAGCACACCAGGAAAUGUUCAGACGGGUGGUGGGGGUACCAAAGACCACAGCCUGGUGCAGUGGCACAGAACAACAGCUGAGUUUUUGUUUCCUGAUCAGAGGCAUUCCAGAAAAACGGCAUUUACAUGUUUUAUAAUAAUGUUUCUCAUCUGUUUCUAUUCCGUUUUUGGUUUUUCUGGCUUUGUUUGUGUGGGUGUGUGAGUAGGACUGUGGAUAUUCUCCACUGAGAGUGUGAGUAUGUGUUAAAGGGACUAAACAAACUUUAGGAGGCUGGGAAGCCAUUCCAGGAAACAGCAGCAAGGAUCGUGUCUCUAUAUGAGUAAAAGACGGUCCUCCCCACUGAGUCUUGGCCAAAUUAGCCCUAUUUAUUUUAAAUAUAUAUAUAUAUAAUAUGUGUGCCUGUACAGUUUUGUGCUAUUAGAGAUGUCCUCUAAGGAGUCUGUUUUUUGAAGUUUAUUCAGGUAGUGAUGUUUUUUUAGUCUGAUUUUCUUAAUCAUCAUGUCUGUGUUUGGUAAGAUGUUCUGGGAAGAUCACCAGUAAGUCCGCCAGUUAAUUUCUGCUCACUUUGUAGACAUGCAAGGGCACGAGGGUUGAUGGAGGGAGGGGGGAGGGGGAGAACAUAAUAAAUGGAACAGUUGACCUUUUUUCUUCUUCUGCUUCUUCUUGCAAUUCAAGCCUGUUCCAAGUGUGUUGCUGCACCAGUGUUAUCUGUAGGAGGAUUUGUGUAGAUGCCCUCAUUGCAUGUUCAGCUUGUCAGUGAAAUCAGGCCAGGUAACACAAAGGUAGGUUGCUCCUGUAAGGGCCGCCGCGCUAAUACAUGUAAUUAAAGGAAGGAAAUGAACACAAAUCCCAACCUUUCUGCUAUUAAGCCUACAUAUCUUAAGAAAUGCAAGCACCGCUAGAUGAGUAAUAUUUGAUAUUUUUAAUAUAAGAAUAAAAAGAAAUGAAAAACUGUUGUAUUUUACUUCUUUUGAGAACAAUUUCAAUAUGCUGUAAUAUUGCGACUAAAUGUCAAUGUGAACUUUUUCCCUCUUUUUUUAGUAAAAUAAAAAUGAUUGAAGCACUCA